rnacentral:rRNA from 1 species
CAGAGACGGCAAGCGUUGUUCGGAUUCAUUGGGCGUAAAGGGUCCGUAGGCGGUCGGUUAAGUCGGAUGUGAAAUCUCGUGGCCUAACCACGAGCGGUCAUUCGAAACUAAUCGGCUAGAGGGCUGGAGAGGAGACUGGAAUUGUCGGUGUAGCGGUGAAAUGCGUAGAGAUCGACAAGAACACCGGUGGCGAAGGCGGGUCUCUGGACAGUUCCUGACGCUGAGGGACGAAAGCUAGGGGGAGCAAACGGGAUUAGAUACCCCGGUAGUCCUAGCCGUAAACUGUGCUCACUUGGCGUGCGGGGAGUCGACCCCCUGCGUGCCGAAGCUAACGCGAUAAGUGAGCCGCCUGGGAAGUACGAUCGCAAGGUUA